UCCGUUGUAGUCUAGUUGGUCAGGAUACUCGGCUCUCACCCGAGAGACCCGGGUUCAAGUCCCGGAGAACCACCGAAU